AGGCUCCAGAUGCGCAGGCUCAGCGGCCAUGGCUCACGGGCCCAGCCACUCCGCGGCAUGUGGUAUCUUCCCGGACUGGGGCACAAACCCGUGUCGCCUGCAUCGGCAGGCGGACUCUCAACCACUGCGCCACCAGGGAGGCCCCACACAGAUUCCCUCAAAGAUAAUGUCUUGCCAAUGUCACAGUUGGGAUAUGGAAAUCGAUACAGUCAAGAUACAGAACAUUUCGAUCACCAUAAGGAUCUCUCCUGUUGCUCUCUUAUAUCUACACCACUACUUAACUCCCAGCAAACAAUUAUUUGUGUUAUAUAAAUAGCAUCAUACGCUCUCAACAGUGGAAGUUGGUCCAGUGAGAUCUUAAGCCCAUGCAUAGAUGGCAGCUGCUUCGCUCUAGCCUGUUUCCACCUAUUUCACCUUCCACACUGCAGCCAGAGACCUUUCAAAAACCCAGACCCAUCUGUGCCACCCUUCAGUUUAAAAACAUCCAUUCAUCUAUUUGGCCAACGAUACUUACUAAGUGCUUUCACUGUACAAGGUAAGAAUGCCAAGAACAGAACAGAUAGUCCCUGCCUGCUUUCGGGGGGUGGGGGUGGGUGAGGGAGACAAGAAACCUGUGGGCAAUUACUCAAAUCGCUAAAUAGGAUGUGCUGAUCAAGAAUAAAUCCGGGGAUUUCCCUGGUGGUGCAGUGGUUGAGAGUCCACCUGCCGAUGCAGGGGACACGGGUUCGUGCCCUGGUCCGGGAAGAUCCCACAUGCCGCGGAGCGGCUAGGCCUGUGAGCCAUGGCCGCUGAGCCUGUGCGUCUGGAACCUGUGCUCCGCAACGGGAGAGGCCACAACAGUGAGAGGGCCGCGUACCGCAAGAAAAAAAAAAAAAGAAUAAAUCCGGAGAAUGGCCUGAGGUCGAGAUCUGCACAGGGGUCAGUGCUCCAAGAGCCUUAAAGGUCACUAAGGUUAUUGAUCUUUAUCUUAAGAGCAAAGAGAAUGCAGUUGAAUGGUUUUUGUUUUGUUUUUUAAAGGUGAUUUUUAAAAAUAAACUUAUUUAUUGCUGU